AAAUGAAUUGCAUUCUAUGAUCACUAACAGUCACUCUCCUCCCUCCCACCCCCUCCCCAACUCACAGAAAAUGCACACAUGGACAGUGACACUGAGGUGGCAUGUGACUCAGACUCACAAGAGACUCAGGAGACAUUUAGUCAGAGGGAAGAGGACGAGACCACAUCGCCAGAUGUGAGCCAUAGCGAUGCAAGAUCAUGGCAGCGCCCAAUGACACCUCCACAAGCCUGUCACCAACAAUCAACAAAAAGGAAAAGGGGUAAAGUUUUAACGAGACCAGCCCGUAUUCACACAAGUUGGAGUAGCUUAAAAUUGGUAUGUUUUUCAAUACAAAAUAUGCAGUUUCACAUGAUUUUGCACCUAUAUUAUUACAAUAUCUGAGACCUCUAUCUUGUCCAAAUUUUGUACACAGUCUCAUAAUCAAUAAUUUCUUGACUUUUGUUCCUCAUUUAAUAUUUCCAUAGAGAAGCACAGAAAUAUUAAUUUGUGUUUAUUGUUUUACAGGUCGCCAGCCUUCCAAGAAAAGGAUGUGGGAGAAAGAGGAGGUGGUUGCUGUCGAGAAGCGCAUGAUGUCCUUCAUUACUUCGUGCCGCGUCCCGGGGAAAAGCGACUGUGAUAAGUGCCUUCAACAGGAAAAAGUAGCACUCAAAAACAGAAAUUGGUUGGCCAUAAAGUUCUACAUUAAGAAUCGAAUCACAGCUCUCAAGAACAAAGUUUAAAGUGAUCAUUUAAUGUAUGUUUACACUGGUUAUGCUUGUUGUGUCACAACAUGUAAAUUAUGUUAGAUAGAGAUAGAUAGACUAUCAUUUGCUACACAACAUUUGGAGCCUGUUACUACCAGGUGUAAACAGAUAUAUACUGUUCAGUGUUUCUGUUUUUUGUUUUUGAUACUAAUGUUCUAAUGGAUGCAAUAGUUCUCUUACCUAAUCUCUAUUUGAAAAGAGAUGUUCUGAUCUUAUUUAUUUUAGUCUUAUUUCAUCUAAAGUCUUUGCCUUUUUAUCUUAUCUCCUCUAUUCUUAUUUGAGCACAUCUCUUUUAAUUUAAUCUUUUGUAUUGUCAUCUCAUCUUCUCUCUUCAAAUCUCUUAUUUUAUCUCAUCUCUUCUGUCAUAGUAUCUUCAUCAUCAUAUCUCAUAUUGUCACAAUCCAUCUCGACUUGUCUUAUGUCCCCCCCAUUUUAUGUCUUCUCAUUUCCCCUCAUGCUCUUUCAUCUGACACUUUACCUAAUCUAUCCUCACUUUGUUAUCUUAUCUGAUCUAAUCUCAUUAUCAUCUCUAAUCUCAUUUUAACAAAUCUUAUCUCCUCUCCACUCUAAUCAUAAUUUCUCUUUUUUUCAUCUCAGUUUAUUAUAUUUGAUCUCAUCUACUCAGUUUAUCUCAUAGUUUAGGUUAUUGCCUAUAUUCUUUUACUUCAUUUUCUCCAAUUUAACUAUUGUCUUCUCAUUGUAUCCCUUAUUAUCAAGUUAACCUGUAAUGGCUGUGUUCAACAAUUUAGUUUUCAGCAGUUAAGUAUUUGUACAAACACAAGGGCUGUAACUAUUAGGUUUAUAAUCAAAUAAUCUGCACAUAACGAUGUUCCAGAGUCCAAUGUGACCUAUUUUAUUUGCAAUUUCUUUGUCCAACCAAAAGCCCAAACCUAUAUGACAGUGAUAUAAGGGUCUGACAUUUAAAACUUUUGUUUUCGUUUAAUAGUUUUGUGAUACAGAAAUGUAAAAGAAAAACCUAUUUUGGUUAAUUUAACAGUCCAAUAAAAGUUUUGAACAGCAAAAUUAUAUUUCGAGCAACUUGUGUUAAAUUCAACCAAGGAAAUAAAACAUAUUUUAUUAUACUGCUGAUAGAGCAGCAGGUGUAUAAAUAAAAUUAGGCACUUUGAUACAAUAUCUUAUCAUGCCAUGCAAUUUGUAUUAUUCUAUUUUGUUCUCCUUUGAUUUCCAUUGUAAACAGUUUUUGUACCCUGUGAUGUUGGCAUGUUGACAUUUUUCAUUCAUUAUACUUUUAUCAGUCUAAUGUUUUUACUUACAGUCAUUAUUGGGACUUAUGUCCUGUAAUAAUGCUGAUGUUAAUUGGUGAUGCAUUUAACCUAAUAGUAGGUUUCAUAUUGAUUGAGUGGUCUGCAUUUAACGUUGUUAUGUUAUAGAAUCUAAAUGUUGAUAUAUUUCCAAGCUCCAGUGGAUGAAUAUCAUGCUGUAUCAUACAGCACUCACCUUGACAGUCANNNNNNNNNNNNNNNNNNNNNNNNNNNNNNNNNNNNNNNNNNNNNNNNNNNNNNNNNNNNNNNNNNNNNNNNNNNNNNNNNNNNNNNNNNNNNNNNNNNNUGCUGCUGCUGCCGUCCACCUUCCAGGACAGACUCCAGUCUGAGGGGAAGCCCUUGUUGGCCAGACACAUGAGCGUGGCCUUCCCCUGCUGCAGCUCCUCACUGGAGGGGGGCAGCACCGUCAGGGUGGGGACGACUCGACCCACUGCAGAGAGAGAGAUUAAUAAAGUUAAUAUGAGAUAAACUGAACUCCAUCCUGUUGGUUGCAGCAGAGGAGGCUUCUAGUUCUGAUGGUCUUCUUCAGACUGAAUGAAACUGGUCUUAAAGGUUUCACUUCCCUCUCUGAGCUCAGUAACCAUGGCAACAGGCAGGCAUCACUGCUGAACCAUGACAACAGACAGGUUUCAGUACUAAAGAUAAAAAGUUAAAACUGGCUCACUUUUAGUCCAGUGUAUAGUUUUUAAAUAAUAAAGUAAAAAGUCAAAGAUUCCUUGUUAAACAUGAGAUGAAGAUUGUAACACUGUUAUUGUUUUAACCAUCUCAAAUAUUUCUUGUGUCAAACUAAAACCUGAUAAAUGAUGAUAUGUGUUUGUUCUCUUCAUGUAAGCAGGAAUCAUCAUUGAAAAGUCAGAAACAUUCAAAUUAAUUUAGUUAACUACUGAACUACUUCAAACUCAUGACAUUCUCAUAAUAAAAUAUGUGGAAUGGAUUUAAUAUUGUUACUCUGGGAGUAAGAUUGAGUAUUACCCAUACACAUUAAACACUGAACCAAAACUAUUGGCAGAGUUCUUGAUCGUAAACAGUAAAACUUAAACUUAAAGACUUUCUCUCCUUACAGAGUAUUGCUUAGUAGUUUUCUACAAUUAACUGAUAAGAAUGUAGAAAAUUAAAGCUUUAUUGCAAAACAUUAUCAAUUGGAGUGGAUUGUAGUCUGGUUAAUGACACUCUGAAGCCUUUAUGAAUUGUUCUAAAGACAUUAGAUUUCAAAUAUUAGGCAAAAUAUUCCAAGAAGGUCAACAGCUAUGAGAUUAAAACAGAAUACAUAAAGAUUAUUGGUUGUUAAAGGAGUUAAAUGUACUUACAGUUAACUUCCAGUCUGGUUCCUCCACCAAAAGUCCACCACAGUGAUACAAACUCAUUGAGCCGCCGUACAAAAACCUCUCACUGUAGAGAGACACGGCUCUCUGACUUUGACACAAACAAACUCAGCAAACACAUUCCCAGUUUACCUAGUUUAUCUAAUAACUGGUUAAAGUGUCCAAAAAAUAAACUAUGAAUAUGUAUUUAAUCUUUUUUUUGUAAAAUAAGCCUUGUUGAUUCAUCUUUCAUUGAAACAUUGAAAUAAAAAAAUUCCAAAGAAAAACCUCUCCAAUAAAACAUGACAAAAAAUAAACAAUGAUAAUAAACAAAUCUUUAUUGUAGAGUAUGAAGAAUAUAAAAUAAGUAAAUAAAUAUAAAUAAUAAAAAUUAUAAUUUUGUUUAAACAUGUCCCACAGUGAUGUUGAGCACUGACACAUUCCUAAUCAAUACUCUGAUAAAGUGAUUGAUCCAUUGAUAAACAGCAUCAUGAGAGGAAUCCAAGUCCCUGUUGGAGUCAGUCAGAGCAUUUCCAUAGAGAGCCACUUUGCAUCAGCAGCACCAUGCUCCAGUGCUCUGGGAGAGUUUAUAGUCCUGAGAGUUGAACACUGGAUGACUGACAGCUGUCCUUCAUGACAACAGAAGACACAGAAAUCCUCCUCAUCAAAAACAUGACUUUGAUCUCCGUCCUCAUCUGGACUCUCCUCUGCUGCUGCUUCACAGGUAAAGUCCAGAGAAUCAAACUCCUCUCCUCUAUGAACAUCCGUCCCUCUGAAAUGAAGCCCACAAAACCAUGACGCUGCUUUAUGUNNNNNNNNNNNNNNNNNNNNNNNNNNNNNNNNNNNNNNNNNNNNNNNNNNNNNNNNNNNNNNNNNNNNNNNNNNNNNNNNNNNNNNNNNNNNNNNNNNNNAGAUGUGAACACAUAAAAAAGAAGCCUAUUAAGUCUGUAUGAAUGUUACAAAUUAUAUCGAUCAAUAAAGGAUUCUUAUAUUAUUUUAUUAUUAUUAUUUUACAAACUGUUUGGGUUCCUCCUGAAACCUCCUCCUCCUCCUGUCUCUCCUUUGGUUGUCAUGGUUGCCACAUUAUCCAGUUACCAUGGGGACACACAAAGACGGUCCUUCGGCUGUGUUUGUUUUCUCUGAUCAGAUUGAUCAUCUCAUCUGAUCAGUUUAUUACAGAUUAUUUUAUCGUCAAUUUGAUCAAUUACCGUCGGUGACGUCAUUCCGCUUCCUCUUUGUGCGGAAGUCGGUGAGAGAAAAAAAACUGCUGAUCAGCCAAUCUGCUAUCCGUCUGUCUCUCUGCGGGUUUUAUUAUCCUCCAUCCCUCCGUCCUCCAUCCACCUACCUCCCCCUCUUUUCACCUUCUCCUCCUCCUGUUCUCUCCAUCGUUCCUCCUCCUCCUGUUGUUCCUCCGCUCCGCAGCAGCGAUGCUCCCACCGGGCCUGGCCGGUGUUGGCGCUUUGUGUUCGGGCUGGC
rnacentral:lncRNA from 15 species